UACAUGAAUUGCAUAAUAGAGAUACAAGCAAGAAUCAUUAAGUUCUAUGAAAAACAUAAGCAUUGACGAGGCAUUCGUUACUAUGAAUUGCAUGAAACUUAUGCCAAGAAUUCAUUCAACGCGAUCGUUUUCAAGCGACCUUCACUACUUGUGAUUAUAAGAUUGUAACUAUUAGGUGAAACUCCCUCAUAAUCUAGCACCAUAUUCAUGCAUGAAAACUAAGCGUGCACUCUCAAUCAACAUACACAAAUAAGUUAUCAAUCAAGUAGAUGAACGAAUUGAAUCCACAACUUAUGAAAUAACAACUGAAUGUAAUCAAAUCAUAUUGCAAGCAUGCACAUGGUUUCGAAUCACCCCCCAACUAAGGGGGUUUAGUUCCUCAUACUCACAACACAAAGUUUAUUGAAUUGAAACAUUGAAAACAUAAGAAAGAUUACACCUAAAAGUUCCAGCAAUCUGCAAUAGACUAGCAAGCACAUUCAAGAGCACUCCUUCUUCCUUCUUGCUGCGGCAUAAGGUAUGGAGAUGGUUUGGGAUGGUUUUGGAUGAGGUAGAAUGGUAGAAAAGUGUCUAAGAUGGGUGUAUGGCACGGCUAGGGAGGUUUGGGGUCAGAAAAUAUGGAUUUGGGUGAAGAUUGGGCACGGCAAAGGUAAGGGAAAGGUUUCUGGCGUGAAUGGAUGUGAAUGGGUGUGUGUGGAAUGAUUUGUGGCUGCAACAAGGAGGUUUAUUUAAAGGAAAACAGAAAUUAAAACCCUAGGUUGAUUAGGAAAUCAGAAAUUAAGUCUAAGGAUUCUAGAAUUAGGAAAUAAAUCAGAAAAUUAAAGGAAAGAGCAAGGGAAAUUCGGCUAGGGUUUAAAACACAAAAGGAAGGUGUUUUAAAGCAUAAAAACAGGAAAUAAGGAAGAGGAAAUGCAAAGGGGGGUGCGGCAAGGGUUCAAAAGGGUUCUAGGCUUUUGUUUUGUGUCCUAGAAUGCUUAGAAAGUCUUCAUAAUUGCUGGAACUUUUAGGGACAAUUAGGAAAAAUCAAACCAAAGUAGGAAACCUUGGCUUAACUUUCCUACUUCAAGUAGGAAUCCUUGUUCUAGGAAUCCUCAUGUGAUUAGGAAUCCAUCUUCAAUUAGGAAUCCUCAUGUGAUUAGGAAUCCAUCUUCAAUUAGGAAUCCUUCGUCGAUUAGGAAUCCUCCUUCAUGUAAGCACUUUCCUACUUCAACUAGGAAACCUUGUUCA
rnacentral:lncRNA from 1 species